UGUGCCUACGGGGCGCAGCAGUGGGGAAUAUUGGGCAAUGGGCGCAAGCCUGACCCAGCGACGCCGCGUGAGGGAAGACGGUCUUCGGAUUGUAAACCUCUUUCAGCAGGGAAGACAAAAGGACGGUACCUGCAGAAGAAGCCACGGCUAACUACGUGCCAGCAGCCGCGGUAAUACGUAGGUGGCAAGCGUUAUCCGGAAUUACUGGGUGUAAAGGGCGUGUAGCCGGGCUGACAAGUCAGAUGUGAAAUCCGGGGGCUCAACCCCCGAACUGCAUUUGAAACUGUUGGUCUUGAGUAUCGGAG
rnacentral:rRNA from 1 species